rnacentral:snRNA from 1 species
GUGCUCGCUUCGGCAACAUGUAUACUAAAACUGGAAUGAUACAGAGACGAUUAGCAUGACCUCUGAGCAAGGAUGACACGCAGAUUCGUGAAAUGUUCCAUACUUGU